rnacentral:rRNA from 1 species
AGCCCGCUCAGAAACUUAAAGGAAUUGACGGGGGCCCGCACAAGCGGUGGAGCAUGUGGUUUAAUUCGAUGAUACGCGAGGAACCUUACCUGGGCUCAAAUGUAUGUUGACGUAUUCUGAAAGGGAUACUUCUUCGGACAAUAUACAAGGUGCUGCAUGGUUGUCGUCAGCUCGUGCCGUGAGGUGUCGGGUUAAGUCCCAUAACGAGCGCAACCCCUAUCAUUAGUUGCCAGCAGUUCGGCUGGGCACUCUAAAGGGACUGCCGGUGUUAAACCGGAGGAAGGUGGGGAUGACGUCAAGUCCUCAUGGCCUUUAUGACCAGGGCUACACACGUACUACAAUGGCCGAUACAAAGGGCAGCGACACUGCGAGGUGAAGCCAAUCCCGUAAAAUCGGUCUCAGUCCGGAUUGGAGUCUGCAACUCGACUCCAUGAAGUUGGAAUCGCUAGUAAUCGUGGAUCAGCAUGCCACGGUGAAUACGUUCCCGGGCCUU